rnacentral:rRNA from 1 species
UACGUAGGGUGCGAGCGUUGUCCGGAAUUACUGGGCGUAAAGAGCUCGUAGGUGGUUUGUCGCGUUGUUCGUGAAAACUCACAGCUUAACUGUGGGCGUGCGGGCGAUACGGGCAGACUGGAGUACUGCAGGGGAGACUGGAAUUCCUGGUGUAGCGGUGGAAUGCGCAGAGAUCAGGAGGAACACCGGUGGCGAAGGCGGGUCUCUGGGCAGUAACUGACGAUGAGGAGCGAAAGAGUGGGGAGCGAACAGG